UACGUAGGGACCAAGCGUUGUUCGGAUUUACUGGGCGUAAAGGGCGCGUAGGCGGCUUGACAAGUCACUUGUGAAAUCUCCGGGCUUAACUCGGAACGGCCAAGUGAAACUGUCAUGCUAGAGUGCAGAAGGGGCAAUCGGAAUUCUUGGUGUAGCGGUGAAAUGCGUAGAUAUCCGGAGGAACACCGGUGGCGAAGGCGGCUUCCUGGACCGACACUGACGCUGAGGCGCGAAAGCCAGGGGAGCAAACGGG
rnacentral:rRNA from 1 species